CGCAAACACCUGCUUUCCGCCCGGGGCUGCAUCUGGGACUCGCGGCUUCGGGAUCGGAUGGGGCGUUUGGCCCCGCGUGGCGAGUGCGCUGCUUUUGUCCACCCUAACAGAUGGCUGGAGUCUCUGCGGGUGGGCCGUGCGUGGGGCUCCUCUGUCCUCGCGGCGGUCCCGGGGUGGACGUGGCGCUGGUUCACAUAAUACAACCCCCGGCCUGCUGGGGGGUGGCAGGCGGAGGAAGAAUGGCAAUGAUUCUGUCGCAGCCGUGGGCACGUGAAAGUGUCAAGACCCAAGAUCCCCCCCACCAGGCUGGCAAGAAGACGGAGUUAUACACCCAACUCAACUUUUCCCUCGGACUAAGGAGACCCGCGAAUGCUGGCAAACGGGAAACUUGGGACUUGGAGAUCAGUUUGUCUUAUCCCCAAGAUUACCUACCCAGCUAGAAGGAGACGGGUCCAAGCUGAAACACACUCCUCUGUUAGAAAAUCCAUCCUGGAUGCUGCAGGGAAGAGCUUCAGGUUACAAGCAGCAGCAGCAGCAGACCAGGUAGGGUGUCAGAGUCCUAGAGACAGGACCCAGAUGGAAUCUUCGUGAGUCAAAGAACUGCUGAACUUCCACAAGUCCAAGAGCUGAAGAGAGAGAGAAGGAUCUGGCCUGCAGCACAGAGGACUCCUUACCCCAUCUUCUGUGCCCUACUUGCCAGUUUUACACCCUUCCCUCCAGGGUGAAUCUGGUACUGGAAGGCGGCUCUCGAUCACAGCAGACUGUAUUGAUGCACUCAGGAGGAAUCAUCAGACGUUUUGUCGUGUUCUGAAGCCUCUGCUGGGGACCCCGGAGCCCGCAACCUUCAUUAGGGUGCUCUGAGUGGAGCUGCCCCUUCCUGCUGCUCACAAGCCUGCUGGACGGACUUUCUCACUGCCUGCCGGGCUUUUCUGUCUCCACAUAACAUCUGCCAGCCCACUUUACAGAUGCCCCAACAUAUUUCUUUUCUGAAUUCCCUAGAAAAGACCCCGUAUCCCAAAUCCUCCUGGAUUUGGAGAUGCCCUGUAAAUACUUGCUUGGGUGAGGCUCUGAUUUUGCCGAAAAGUCUACCUGUCCAAAACCUCUUUGAGUUACACAGUGAGUAGCCAUGGAUCCCGUCUGCCAUCUCUUACUUGGAUCGAGCCCACCAGGUCCAGAGAGAGGACACAGAGACAAUUUUCUGGCAGUUACACAAUAGAGGACGCUGCAUGUGGUGGUAUACACCUAUGAUGCCAGCACUCAGGACUAACUCGGAAGGCCAGCCUGGGCUGCAUAGUGAGGUCUUCCUGGUUCAAGCAGAAGAAAUCAAAUCCACACAACAGCAACAGACACACACAAGUGCAUUGUGUACACAAGGCAUUAAGUACAUACCGACUGCUGAGUGUGGCAAGCAGAAAUCAAUUUCCUUGCUCACCUCUCAAAGACAAAGAAAAUUCAUCUCUCAGACACUAGUCAGUGGCUGAACUUUGACCAAAACCCUGGUUUUCUCUUUCAAUUUUUUUUUGUUCCUAUCUUAUGAUGUCCCCCUAGGCAUUCUAUUAGACUACUUUUCUGUAGAAUUUUAUUUAUUUAUUGUUUUUUUUCUUUUUCUUUUUUUCUUAAACUUUAUUUUUAUUUAUUUGAGAGAGAGAAAGAGGCAGAGAGAGGGAGACAAAGAAUGGG